UAGAGCUUGAAGUUUUUAACUACUACUGAAGAACUUUACAGUAACCAGGAAAAAAAAAGGCAAACUAAAACAACUAAUAUACAAGGCCACCUUAUCGCUAUUGAAGAAAAAAACAAAAGGCCCAGUUAUGGACAUGGCCACUAAGUUUACAGUGUGCCAACUGGAUCCAUUCAACAAACCCAGUAUAGUACACAAAACACGCCUAAGGACUAAGGCUGCUCGUAAAUACCCUUCUAUUUGAUAUACAUGAACACAACUAAGCUCCAAUACGAUUACUAGCUUCAACCAAUUCAUUCAUCUGCG
rnacentral:misc_RNA from 1 species